AAUGUUGAAACGGCCCUGGGAGAUUAGAGAACCCUCGUGGAGCUCUAAAUAAGGCCUCAACAGGCCACAGGAAGCCUCAUGCACUGAUAGAAACAGGCCAACAUAUUACUGAAAAGCUAGAAAGGAAAAUAAAAACAAAACAAAAAAAAUGCCAGGACAUCCAGAUGAUGGUAAAAAUAAGCUGGGAAAAUGACAGGAACUCAGAACUCAGUCCUUCAGAGAAAAGGAUGCUACCAUGCGGCUGCAGCCUUCAGCCAGUCACUAGAGAUGAACCCACUAGGCACAAGGCACUUUUCAGCUGUGACCCAGAAGAAUGUCUGUUUAAGUGACUUAGAGUCACACAGCAAGCAAAUGGUGGCUGAGGAAAUCAAACCCUGGAGUACAGGAUGAAGUAGCUUGUACCUUAAUCAUCUGUACUAAACUACCAAACUUAAUUAUUUCUUUAUUUUUUUCUCUUUCUGAAUAUGUCUGGAAAAAGAGAAAGACUGUUCCAAGUAUUUUUGUUAUAGUUUCAUUUGUAUUAUUUACAGUAGAACCUCUGUAAGUUGACCACCCUAGGGACUGUAACAAAAUGGUCAACAAACAGAGGUGGUCAACA